ACACAUGCAAGUCGAACGAUGGCCCCCCGCUUGCGGGGGUGAUUAGUGGCGAACGGGUGAGUAACACGUGAGUAACCUGCCCUUGACUCUGGGAUAAGCCUGGGAAACCGGGUCUAAUACCGGAUAUGUACCCUUCACCGCAUGGUGGGGGGUGGAAAGCCUUGUGCGGUUUUGGAUGGACUCGCGGCCUAUCAGCUUGUUGGUGGGGUAAUGGCCCACCAAGGCGACGACGGGUAGCCGGCCUGAGAGGGUGACCGGCCACACUGGGACUGAGACACGGCCCAGACUCCUACGGGAGGCAGCAGUGGGGAAUAUUGCACAAUGGGCGCAAGCCUGAUGCAGCGACGCCGCGUGAGGGAUGACGGCCUUCGGGUUGUAAACCUCUUUCAGUAGGGAAGAAGCGAAAGUGACGGUACCUGCAGAAGAAGCGCCGGCUAACUACGUGCCAGCAGCCGCGGUAAUACGUAGGGCGCAAGCGUUAUCCGGAAUUAUUGGGCGUA
rnacentral:rRNA from 1 species